UUACGGCCAUAUCAGAUUGAAACGCCGGUUCUCAUACGAUCACCGAAUUUAAGCGACGUCGAGAAUGGUAAGUAAAAAUGUCUGACGUUUACUACGAUGGUUGAUCGCUUCGGAAGGCCGGGUGAUGUAA